CCUUUUAAGAGCUACACCAAACUAGAGUAGAUAUAGUAAUUUACUAUUUCAAAAUAGAGCUUUAUGAAGAAGGAA
rnacentral:sRNA from 12 species